rnacentral:rRNA from 1 species
AUACGUAGGUGGCAAGCGUUGUCCGGAUUUACUGGGCGUAAAGGAUGCGUAGGCGGAUAUUUAAGUCAGAUGUGAAAAUCCCGGGCUUAACUUGGGAACUGCAUUUGAAACUGGGUAUCUAGAGUGUGGGAGAGGAAAGUGGAAUUCCUAGUGUAGCGGUGAAAUGCGUAGAGAUUAGGAGGAACACCAGUGGCGAAGGCGACUUUCUGGACUGUAACUGACGCUGAGGCACGAAAGCGUGGGGAGCGAACAGGAUUAGAUACCCUGGUAGUCCACGCCGUAAACGAUGGAUACUAGGUGUAGAGGGUAUCGACCCCCUCUGUGCCGGAGUUAACGCAAUAAGUAUCCCGCCUGGGGAGUACGGUCGCAAGGCUGAA